rnacentral:rRNA from 2 species
UCAGGAUGAACGCUGGCGGCGUGCUAAUACAUGCAAGUCGAGCGAACAGAUGAGAAGCUUGCUUUUGAUGUUAGCGGCGGACGGGUGAGUAACACGUGGGUAACCUACCUAUAAGACUGGGAUAACUCCGGGAAACCGGGGCUAAUACCGGAUAAUAUAUUGAACCGCAUGGUUCAAUGUUGAAAGACGGUUUCGGCUGUCACUUAUAGAUGGACCCGCGCCGUAUUAGCUAGUUGGUAAGGUAACGGCUUACCAAGGCAACGAUACGUAGCCGACCUGAGAGGGUGAUCGGCCACACUGGAACUGAGACACGGUCCAGACUCCUACGGGAGGCAGCAGUAGGGAAUCUUCCGCAAUGGGCGAAAGCCUGACGGAGCAACGCCGCGUGAGUGAUGAAGGUCUUAGGAUCGUAAAACUCUGUUGUUAGGGAAGAACAAAUUUGUUAGUAACUGAAC